UGGAUCACCUCCUAACAGGGAGACAACAAAAUGUUUUAUAUUAUUAUUUUGUCACCUUAGGUCGAUCGGUAUCUCACAUUCUUAAUUUAUUAAGGAUUUCAUAUCCUAAGUUUUUCUAGGUCACACCCAUUAUUUUUCCUGGGCCAUUAGCUCAGGUGGUUAGAGCGCACCCCUGAUAAGGGUGAGGUCCCUGGUUCAAGUCCAGGAUGGCCCAUAUCUCUAUGUUGGGGGUAUAGCUCAGUUGGUAGAGCGCCUGCUUUGCAAGCAGGAUGUCAGCGGUUCGAGUCCGCUUACCUCCACUGAUUACCACCUCUUCCAUAAUCUGUAGAAAGGAAAUGCUUUGAGUUGUGAUCAAAUUCUGAACGAAUCUAGCUUCCUAAUGAAAUCAUUAAGAUGCUGGACUCAUUGAAUUAAUUUCAUUGUUUUCAGAGAACCUUGACAACUGCAUAGAUUAUUUUUAAAGACAAUAAGCAUCUUUAAUGAUGCAGAUUUAUUAUUUGUGCGAAUGCAUUAAUAACAAUUCUAUUAAGCUGAUGCUUCAAUUUUGAAGUUAUUGGUCAAGCUACAAAGAGCUCACGGAGGAUACCUAGGCACACAGAGGCGAUGAAGG
rnacentral:tRNA from 1 species